UCACCUAUCAAUGAAAGCACCAAAUUGAUAGGACUUAAUCACAUGAGAAAAUCUCAAUCCGAAAGUCCUAACAAUUGGUGUUCUUUCACUCUUUUUCAU
rnacentral:pre_miRNA from 1 species